AGUUACUCCGUGUUCAGGCAUGAACACACUGAAUUAGAGGCGCUGGAAGACAGGGCAGACUAUCACCUAUGUUUGGGUCUGCUGAGUAAUGUCAGCAAUUGUGGUUUCAAGAUCCAAUCAUCCAGUGAAAGCUUCAAGGUAAUUCAAUUCAAGGCCCUCUCAGCUGUGCUCUCUUCUGAAAGCUGUCUGUGGAAUCAACCAGUCAUGGAU